GGCCAGGCUGGCAGUUCUCUGCCAGCAGCUUGAGAGGCAGGAGCUCCCUCAGCCGAGGGAGCUUGUGUGUUCAACACAAUACUGAAGCCAAUGUCAGCUGUCAGUGGGCUGUCUACACUAGAGCAUCAACAUUGUUAACAAAGAGUCAGAAGAACUCAUCUCAGCAAAGGGGCAUUGACCAGUUAAUUUAAUUUGCCUUUCAUUCAUUGGCUCUGAGACCAACAUCACUGUGAGCAUGGCACCUAUCUGAAUGACCUGGGAGGACAUAUUGUUGAAUUUUUUGACUUCCUGUUUCAGGUUUAAGUCAUAUAAAAAUUACAUAGUUUU